GGGCUGAUCAUCCAAUCUGGUUAAGAUGUCGCCUUCGCAAGGCGGAAAUCCGGGUUCAAAUCCCGGUCAGUCCA
rnacentral:tRNA from 1 species